rnacentral:misc_RNA from 1 species
GAUGAAGAACGUAGCGAAAUGCGAUAAGUAAUGUGAAUUGCAGAAUUCAGUGAAUCAUCGAAUCUUUGAACGCACAUUGCGACCCUUGGUAUUCCGAGGGGCAUGCCUGUUCGAGCGUCAUUAUAACCCCUCAAGCUCAGCUUGGUGUUGGGGCCUGCCGCACGGGCAGCCCUUAAAAUCAGUGGCGGUGCUAUCUGGCUCUAAGCGUAGUAAUUCUUCUCGCUAUAGAGUCCCGGUGGAUGCUUGCCAUUAACCCCCAAUUUUCUAUGGUUGACCUCGGAUCAGGUAGGGAUACCCGCUGAACUUAAGCAUAUCAAUAAGCGGAGGA